GGAGUGUAGCUUAAUCGUAGAGCAUUUGCUUUGCAAGCAUAAGGCUGCUGGUUCAAAUCCGGUCGCUUCC
rnacentral:tRNA from 1 species